GUUCAAAUGGAGGCUUUAAUUAAUUACAUACAGUAUUUAUAGUUUUUAUUGCACUUCCAAGUUAGUUAAAAACAAACAAAUAGUGCAAUGAACUAUACACACAUUAACAUAAAGGUACCAUGCAGCAUACAAACAAGCCUAAUACAAAGCUACUUCCGCAGUUUCUUUACAAACACAUGGGUUGGAGCUGCCUGCAGCUGCAGUAGAAAAAGCGAGGCCCUGUGCUUUCACAGGCAUAAGGCCGACUGGUGUCAAGGCCUUUCGUGGUGACGGGAUCAAGUUUAACGUUUGAGGCUACGUCGUCUAGAAAAAGCAUGAUUUUUAUGGCUGUAGAAAUGCUAUUAACUAGCAGCACUUUACUUAACAGUGCAAUAAUAACAUAGUAAUAGUUCAUAUCUAGCUUUCUGCUUUAUUUAACGGUAAAAAUUCUUCCCAAGUCCGUAAGAAGGUUGUAAAUGACCAGGAAGAAAGAUGGAUGUGUUUUCUUUCCAAUAGUAUGGAAACAGGACUGACAAAUGUAUUUAUCCCUUGACCUUGUUAUCCCAGUUACCAUGACAUUACUGCGCUGUGAAGUUAAGUGCGACCACAUUUACUAGAAUUACAACAUAUUUAUGUAACCUGCUGUCAUAAAAGCUUAUUAAAAAUCUUUGGUCCGUUUCAAAACCUGGGACUUUGGCUUUAGAAAAGAGGAACACAGAGCUAAAGAGGAUUGCUACAACUGAAGUGAGCCAAUGGCAUUUACGGCUCAGAGCAGUUCAACAAAACAAGAAAACACAUUUGCAAUUAAGACGCAGUGACGGUAAAAAACAUAAAUAAAACAGGACGAGGCUUUUGUAGCAACGUGUGGGGAUAGCAAAGCAUUAUCGUCGUUAUCUUUUAAAAGGCUCAUUUAUAAUCUACAAAUUAUAUACAGUUUAAAAGUAACAAAAAUUAAACACGAAAGCACCAGUAAAUUUUAGCAGAGCUGUAGCUGACACAAAACAAGUCAAGUGUUAACCAUGACAAGCAGCAAUGUGACAAAGGACAAAAAUCAGAGCAUUUUUGGUGCUAACGACAGCGUAUAGAAACCGCUCCACAGUCCUUUGGUUUUCUGGUGAAACAUUUCAUCUACUCCCAUCGUCAAACAGGAAGUAGAUCUCGUGAUUAAAAUUACACACACGCACAGCUGAUUUUCCCGAGAGUCUUCAUGGCGGCAGAAGUGACUUUUUUGCUACAAAGUUCAACAUCUGUUUCCAGUUCUGGGAUCACAUGGCUGCAUGCAUCAACAGUUCCAGGUAAUGCAAGCCUCUGCCCGGGACCUUAUGAAAACUCUCUGCCGAACAUUAAGGAGGGGGGGGGGCGCCCAACGAGAGAGUGUACUUGAAGUCUCCAGGCCUUCUAGGAAAAAAGACUGGAGCAAUAUGGCACACCUACUUAAAGAGUUAAAUAAAAUGUAGUGUUUCUUUUUCUUCAUAAAUGGCAGUGGUUCUUAAACUGUGACAUCACUGGUGGUAGGCAAGAGUUAUUGUCAUGGUAAGAAGAACUAGGGGCAUUAAAAUUCAAGUACUCAUUUAGUUCUUUGUUUGAGACUUUGGACCAGUCAGUUCUGGCUUAGGCACAGUUAAGUCCAGGUUCAGUCCUAGUUCAGUCCUGUUUUAGUUCUGGGUUUGUCCAUACUUAGCGCUUAUUUCUUUCUACUAUUCCAGAUUUUGAGUCCUGUUUGGGAUUAAUCUUGGUUCAAUGUGCACUAUGUAACUUUACUGAUGAGGGUUCUCCACCUGCUUGUCUCCAUGGAGAUGUUACUGCUUUGCGUAGAAUGUUCCACAGUAUCUCAAUCUUGCAUUUAUUCAAUUACAAGUGUUAUAACCACUCUUAUUGUGAGCAGGGUCACUUCUCUAAAGAGUUCACCUGGCUCCAUGAAGAUAAGUUGAUGUGGAAAUAACAUAACCCCCUCCAGCAAAGUUCCACAGUGCAGCUUUUAAAUCCUACCCCAAAUUCGUACUUGUCAAAACUUUCAGAACCACUCACGUAGUCAAUACCACAGUUUUUGGUGCCAUUAGAUUUAAAUGCUACUACAGUACAUCUCACAUUGUCGAAGGGAUAAGGUGUGUGCGUGACAGGGUGGAGUGGGGAUUUGCUGCAAGUGUGACACCUCAUCACCGACCACAUUGGUUUCUGCGGCUUUCUGGCCCCUAUUCAAAAACAGAACCACUAGCCUCGCCACCCUCCCCCCUUCAAGUCUCUAUCGCUCCUUCAGCUGCAAUGCUAGGCCCUGGGUUUAUUUUCACGGAUGGGGAGUGAAAACAGCCCUCUCUUUGUUUUGGCUGCUGUGCUUUUCCCAGUGAAGGAAGGAGGACUGGGCGGAGGAGGAGGAGGUGCCUAAGGGGGCCACGUGUGUUGGGAUGGGAUAUGGUGGUGGUGGUGGUGGUGGUGGGGGACUCAGACUGGAUGUGAAGGCAGCUCCAGGAGGGCAGACGCUGGCAUUGGGGUCAAGUGAUGGUCCCGCGUGAUGUCUGCUUCGUCCGCUUUGCCUCGUUGUCGACGGGUGGCACUGAAAUAUGCGUUCAUCAGCUGCAGGAUCUCCGUCAACUGGAACAGAGAGAAAGAGAGAGAGAGGACAAGGGUCAGAUGGGUGGCAGCCGCAGUGUCAAACGAAGGGUGGAGGGGGUGAAGUCAUCCAGCUGUGUGAAAACUGGGAUCAUCCAAGAACUGAGCGUGAUGUUCCUUUGGCAGAAUCAUACACUCUCUAUAAACAUGCCAAACUUACAAAUGAAAUGUCAUGUGUAAAAUGUUCCUAAAAUUGCAAUAGAAAGACUGUC
ensembl:lncRNA